rnacentral:rRNA from 1 species
UACAGAGGUCCCAAGCGUUGUUCGGAUUUAUUGGGCGUAAAGGGUGCGUAGGUGGCGCCGUAAGUCAGAUGUGAAAUAUCCGGGCUUAACCCGGAGGGGUCAUUUGAAACUGAGUAACUAGAGUACAGCAGAGGAUAGCGGAAUUCCCGGUGUAGUGGUGAAAUGCGUAGAUAUCGGGAGGAACACCAGUGGCGAAGGCGGCUAUCUGGGCUGAAACUGACGCUGAGGCGCGAAGGCUAGGGGAGCAAACAGG